GGAGGGGGCAAGCGUUACUCGGAAUUAUUGGGCGUAAAGGGCGCGUAGGUGGUCGCGUGCGUCGGGGGUGAAAUACCCGGGCUCAACCCGGGAACUGCCUUCGAUACGGCGUGGCUUGAGUCCGGGAGAGGGGAGCAGAAUUCCCAGUGUAGCGGUGAAAUGCGUAGAUACUGGGAGGAAUACCGGUGGCGAAGGCGGCUCCCUGGACCGGUACUGACGCUGAGGCGCGAAAGCGUGGGGAGCAAACAGGAUUAGAUACCCUGGUAGUCCACGCUGUAAACGAUGGGUGCUUGGUGUCGGGGGUAUCGACCCCUCCGGUGCCGAAGCUAACGCAUUAAGCACCCCGCCUGGGGAGUACGGUCGCAAGGCUG
rnacentral:rRNA from 1 species